GAGGGGCCCCACAGUGCUCAAGGUGUGAAGGAGUGGCUGCAAACGAUUGACCUGAUGCUUGAUUGCUCCCGAUGAAGCCCUCCUAAAGGUCCCAAAGGGAGGAGUGCAGAGAGCUUCCGGGUCACGGUCACGGGACACACCCACCUUGGCGGGGGUGAGGAACACACCCCACCCGGCCAGGGACAGAGCCUCCUGCCCCCGGGAAGCCUCCCAGCCCCUGCUGCUUGCCCUCCUUCAUCUGGCAAUCCAUCUGCAAACUACUUGCUAACGUCCAAUAAAGUGAUGAGGGGCCACUGAGGCCAAUGAGACAUUUGCUGCAAGAGUGAAAUCUGAAAGGGAACCAAAAAACUCAAUAAUCAAGGCAGGGCUACAGGGGAGCUGCAGGUUUUCAUUGGAGGCCCAAGGAAGAGGACAGAGCCUUCCUGGAAGCUUCUCUGGGGAAGAUGUGGUAGGUCAGGUCAACAGAUGAGGACAGAAGGCAAUUCGGUGGUUGCAACCUCCAAAGAUUCGCAGCUCUCGCAAGCCCUGACCCAGAGAAUGGCCGUCUUCCUUAAGUUCCGGCGGACAGUCACUCCUCACUGGCUGCAAAGAGGUACAGC